AUUGAACGCUGGCGGCAGGCCUAACACAUGCAAGUCGAGCGGAUGAAGGGAGCUUGCUCCUGGAUUCAGCGGCGGACGGGUGAGUAAUGCCUAGGAAUCUGCCUGGUAGUGGGGGAUAACGUCCGGAAACGGGCGCUAAUACCGCAUACGUCCUGAGGGAGAAAGUGGGGGAUCUUCGGACCUCACGCUAUCAGAUGAGCCUAGGUCGGAUUAGCUAGUUGGUGGGGUAAAGGCCUACCAAGGCGACGAUCCGUAACUGGUCUGAGAGGAUGAUCAGUCACACUGUAACUGAGACACGGUCCAGACUCCUACGGGAGGCAACAGUGUGGAAUAUAGGACAAUGGGCGAAAGCCUGAUCCAGCCAUGCCGCGUGUGUGAAGAAGGUCUUCGGAUUGUAAAACACUUUAAGUUGGGAGGAAGGGCAGUAAGUUAAUACCUUGCUGUUUUGACGUUACCAACAGAAUAAGCACCGGCUAACUUCGUG
rnacentral:rRNA from 1 species